rnacentral:rRNA from 1 species
AUUGAACGCUGGCGGCAGGCUUAACACAUGCAAGUCGAGCGGAGUUUUGGUGCUUGCACCAAGACUUAGCGGCGGACGGGUGAGUAAUGCUUAGGAAUCUGCCUAUUAGUGGGGGACAACGUUUCGAAAGGAACGCUAAUACCGCAUACGUCCUACGGGAGAAAGCAGGGGAUCUUCGGACCUUGCGCUAAUAGAUGAGCCUAAGUCGGAUUAGCUAGUUGGUGGGGUAAAGGCCUACCAAGGCGACGAUCUGUAGCGGGUCUGAGAGGAUGAUCCGCCACACUGGGACUGAGACACGGCCCAGACUCAUACGGGAGGCAGCAGUGGGGAAUAUUGGACAAUGGGCGGAAGCCUGAUCCAGCCAUGCCGCGUGUGUGAAGAAGGCCUUUUGGUUGUAAAGCACUUUAAGCGAGGAGGAGGAGCUCUAGGCUAAUACCCUAGAAGCUUGGACGUUACUCGCAGAAUAAGCACCGGCUAACUCUGUGCCAGCAGCCGCGGUAACAC